CACGUAGUUAGCCGGCGCUUUCUCUGCAGGUACCAUCAAUUUCUCUUCUUCCCUGCUAACAGAGGUUUACAACCCGAAGGCCGUCAUCCCUCACGCGGCGUCGCUGCAUCAGGCUUGCGCCCAUUGUGCAAUAUUCCCCACUGCUGCCUCCCGUAGGAGUCUGGGCCGUGUCUCAGUCCCAGUGUGGCCGGUCACCCUCUCAGGCCGGCUACCCGUCGUCGCCUUGGUGAGCCGUUACCUCACCAACAAGCUGAUAGGCCGUGAGCCCAUCUAUAACCACUACAUAACGCUUUCCACCAACACCCCAUGCGGAGAUUGGUCGUAUCCGGUAUUAGACCCAGUUUCCCAGGCUUAUCCCAGAGUUAAAGGUAGGUUACUCACGUAUUACUCACCCGUUUGCCACUAAUCCACCUAGCAAGCUAGGCUUCAUCGUUCGACUUGCAUGUGUUAAGCACGCCGCCAGCGUUCGUCCUGAGCCAGGAUCAAACUCUA
rnacentral:rRNA from 1 species